rnacentral:antisense_RNA from 1 species
AUUCAGUUGAAUAUGUAGACAACCACCAGCUAAUCUCUAUUGGCUUGGAUUUUGUGGUUUGGAAAAUACUCAUCACCUGCAUUGUCCUAAUGAUUUAUAAUCAGUGGGAUCAUAAUUUGUGAGUGCUGGUUCAUCUGCAGGAACAGAGGCUCAACAUCUUGUUCAAGGGUACCAGUUGGUAAGCUCCAGAAUUUAAACUUAGGACAUGGAUUCUACUGCCUUACUCUGCUCUUCACAUCACACUGGAGCAGAAUAACUUGACUCAAGAUGGUUGGAGGAAGAGAGGUGGAAGAAGGCCGAGAAAAACAGUGAAGAUGGAAGACUUUGUUUUGGGCUCUUUCAGAAUCUCUACUCUCAAGUGGUCCAUUUUCUUGGACUACUAUCCAGAGAUAAGAUGAGAAUAAAGAGACAAAAAAAAUUGACUUCUUAUUUAAUCAGUGUGAAACCCCACUACCUAUUCAAAUUCUAGUU